rnacentral:rRNA from 1 species
CAGCAGCCGCGGGAAUACGAAGGGGGCUAGCGUUGCUCGGAAUUACUGGGCGUAAAGCGUGCGCAGGCGGUUUGUUAAGACAGAUGUGAAAUCCCCGGGCUCAACCUGGGAACUGCAUUUGUGACUGGCAAGCUAGAGUCUGGCAGAGGGGGGUGGAAUUCCGCGUGUAGCAGUGAAAUGCGUAGAUAUGCGGAGGAACACCGAUGGCGAAGGCAGCCCCCUGGGCCAACACUGACGCUCAUGCACGAAAGCGUGGGGAGCAAACAGGAUUAGAUACCCCCGUAGUCCCUGUCUCUUAUAA